rnacentral:rRNA from 1 species
CCUACGGGAGGCAGCAGUAGGGAAUCUUUCACAAUGGGCGAAAGCCUGAUGGAGCAACGCCGCGUGCAGGAUGAAGGCCUUCGGGUUGUAAACUGCUUUUAUAAGCGAGAAAUAUGAUGGUAACUUAUGAAUAAGGAUCGGCUAACUACGUGCCAGCAGCCGCGGUCAUACGUAGGAUCCGCGCAUUAUCCGGAGUGACUGGGUGUAAAGAGUUGCGUAGGUGGCAUAAUAAGUAGCUAGUGAAAUCUGGUGGCUCAACCAUUCAGACUAUUAGCUAAACUGUUAAGCUCGAGACCGUUAGGGGUAACUGGAAUUUCUAGUGUAGGAGUGAAAUCCGUAGAUAUUAGAAGGAACACCAAUAGCGUAGGCAGGUUGCUGGGACGGUUCUGACACUAAGGCACGAAAGCGUAGGGAGCAAACGGGAUUAGAUACCCCUGUAGUC